UCAGGCCCAGCACGGAGAGUGCGGUGGCGCUCUUGCCGCUGCCCGACUCGCCCACCACGGCGAGCGUUUCGCCGGCGUGGAC
rnacentral:tRNA from 1 species